rnacentral:rRNA from 1 species
AGCUCCAAUAGCGUAUAUUAAAGUUGUUGCAGUUAAAAAGCUCGUAGUUGAAUUUCUGGUAUAGGUGGCCGACCUUCCACUUGGUGGAUUAUGCGGUAGCCUUUGCCUUUUUUGAGUUGAGUUUGGGUGGCAUUAAUUUGUUGCUCUUACAAUACUCAUCAUUUACUGUGAAGAAAUUAGAGUGUUCAAAGCAGGCGUAGGCUGUGAAUACAUUAGCAUGGAAUAAUAAAAUAGGACUUUGGUACUAUUUUGUUGGUUUACAGACCAAAGUAAUGAUUAAUAGGGACAGUUGGGGAUAUUCGUAUUUCAGUGUCAGAGGUGAAAUUCUUGGAUUUCUGAAAGACGAACUACUGCGAAAGCAUUUAUCAAGGAUGUUUUCA